ensembl:lncRNA
GGAUGUAUGUACCUUCUUUCCCCUGAAUUCUUUCUCAAACUUUCUCUGUCACGAUUUACUACUAUUUACUGAGCAUCCUGUAUGGCCUGGAUACUGGGGAAAACAAGGCGACUCAGUCCAUGCCCUCAUGGACUCUGUAAGUGCCAUAGGGAAUCACUGUAUAACCAAAUUAGAGAUGAGAAGAACAACAUAAGAGGAACAUCCCACAGCCCCACAUCCACCCCACCUAACAAAGUGAAGGAGCUAAUACUCAAGUUCUUCAGAGUUCUCUUGGCUCACUUCCCAGCUGUGGUCAAAUUCUCUGCAUGCUCGUUCCUCCUUUUCUGGAUUACUUGUGGAAUUGCCAGGAGGACAGAGGCUUGAAGAAUGCAAGCAGGAAAGAAAAAAAAAAAAGGAGCAUCUGCAAAUGAUUGACUGAAACCAGUUGUAGCUGGGCAGAAUCAGGGUUUUCAGCUGCAAGCAACAGAAACUAACUCUGACAGAUUAAAGAAAAGGAAUUUCUCAAAAAGCUAUCGAAUAAUCCCUGAGAAGGCUGAAAAACAGGAUCAGAAAACAUAAGAACUGAGAACUCAGGAUCAUAUCUGAGGCCACAGGUACAAUCACAGCCUAGCAAGAGUGAGAUGAGGGUACCUCUGCUGCCACUGCUGAGUGCUGUGCCACGGCUUCCACCAUCACUGUCUUCAGCCCUCAACACUUGAUACCACCAUGGGCAGUGGGAGCCUGGAUAUUUUUGUCACCCUGCAGCCUCCCCCAGAAAGGAUUCUCCAAUGUCCCACUUUGUUGAUGCUAAUAACUUCUGAUUCCUUCCGGAGCAAGAGCACCUGAUUGGCCAAGUCUUGGUUGUAUGUCCACGUCCUAGCUGCAAAGUGGACUAGACUUUUCUAGAGACUUCUAGAAGACUAGAACAGUCUUUUUUAGGGCGCUGAAAUUCAUGAAGUGAUAGCAUCCCAAACAUGGGAAGGGGGUUCAGAUGCUCAGUAGCCAAAAAUGACCCUAAGCCCCCUUCCUCUAAUCCCAUGUGGAGGGAGAGCGUGAGUCAACACUGACCUGCCAGAGGAUUAGAAAUAAGUCCAGGAGACACAUUUCAGCACUGAGGCUGGUGUCCUCUGACCCAGAAGCAAGGCCCUUAGGCCAGUAAGGAAGGAAAUCCAAGCUGCCACCAUCGGAAAACAAAAGCCUAUGUCAGAAAUAUUUACCUUUGGCCUUGAUCUCUCAUCCCAGACCUGCUGCUUAGACUUUUCACAAUUUAUGGAUCCUGACAUAUGGCUGUCAGAGCUCCUGGGAGAGCCACACAUGAAGCCUUCAUGAAAGCUGUUGUGUAGUCACUCAGUCGUGACUCUUCAACCCCAUGGGCUGUAGCUUGCUAGGCUCCUCUGUCCAUGGGAAAGCUCCAGGUGGUGAAAACUUCUGAGUUCCCCCUGAUUAAUCAGAUCACCAGA